rnacentral:rRNA from 1 species
GACGAACGCUGGCGGCGUGCCUAAUACAUGCAAGUGGGACGCAAGGGAACACACUGUGCUUGCACACCGUGUUUUCUUGAGUCGCGAACGGGUGAGUAACGCGUAGGUAACCUGCCUAUUAGCGGGGGAUAACUAUUGGAAACGAUAGCUAAUACCGCAUAAUAUUAAUUAUUGCAUGAUAAUUGAUUGAAAGAUGCAAGCGCAUCACUAGUAGAUGGACCUGCGUUGUAUUAGCUAGUUGGUAAGGUAAGAGCUUACCAAGGCGACGAUACAUAGCCGACCUGAGAGGGUGAUCGGCCACACUGGGACUGAGACACGGCCCAGACUCCUACGGGAGGCAGCAGUAGGGAAUCUUCGGCAAUGGACGAAAGUCUGACCGAGCAACGCCGCGUGAGUGAAGAAGGUUUUCGGAUCGUAAAGCUCUGUUGUAAGUCAAGAACGUGUGUGAGAGUGGAAAGUUCACACAGUGACGGAGCUA